CAUAUUAAUGCCCAUGAUUUUGGAAUGAGAUGUUCAAUGAGCAGGUGUCCACAUACUUUUGGUCAUGUAGUGUAUAAAUCUCCUGAUUCAAUGAUUAUUUAAUUAUCACUAUCUCACUAUCUGUAUUUUAUUUUUACACCAGAUGAACUCAAAGAAGAACUGAGGAGAGCUAAAGAGACCAUCCAAUCCCUCUCCACCUCUCCAGGAGGUCAACAGGAAACACAGACUCCUUCCCAAAAGUCUGAGGGGAUUGAAGGGAUGGAGAUGAAGACUUUACCAGGGAGGAAGUCUGCUCCUGAGAUGGAG